rnacentral:rRNA from 1 species
UGAGGAAUAUUGGUCAAUGGGCGAGAGCCUGAACCAGCCAAGUCGCGUGAAGGAUGACUGUCUUAUGGAUUGUAAACUUCUUUUAUACGGGAAUAACAAGAGUCACGUGUGACUCCCUGCAUGUACCGUAUGAAUAAGCAUCGGCUAACUCCGUGCCAGCAGCCGCGGUAAUACGGAGGAUGCGAGCGUUAUCCGGAUUUAUUGGGUUUAAAGGGUGCGUAGGCGGUUUGUUAAGUCAGCGGUGAAAUCUAGAGGCUCAACCUCGAAACUGCCGUUGAAACUGGCGAACUUGAGUGUAGAUGAGGUAGGCGGAAUUCGUGGUGUAGCGGUGAAAUGCAUAGAUAUCACGAGGAACUCCAAUUGCGAAGGCAGCUUACUAAGGUACAACUGACGCUGAAGCACGAAAGCGUGGGUAUCAAACAGGAUUAGAUACCCUGGUAGUCCACGCAGUAAACGAUGAUAACUGGGCGUAUGCGAUAUACAGUAUGCUCCUAANCGAAAGCGUUAAGUUAUCCACCUGGGGAGUACGCCGGCAACGGU